GGUCCCGUAGCUCAGUAGGAUAGAGCAUCAGAUUCCUAAUCUGAGGGUCGCGCGUUCGAAUCGCGCCGGGAUCACCA
rnacentral:tRNA from 1 species